UACGGAGGGGGCUAGCGUUGUUCGGAAUUACUGGGCGUAAAGCGCACGCAGGCGGGUCGUUAAGUCAGGGGUGAAAUCCCGAGGCUCAACCUCGGAACUGCCUUUGAUACUGGCGACCUUGGAGUCCGGGAGAGGUGAGUGGAACUCCGAGUGUAGAGGUGAAAUUCGUAGAUAUUCGGAAGAACACCAGUGGCGAAGGCGGCUCACUGGCCCGGUACUGACGCUCAUGUGCGAAAGCGUGGGGAGCAAACAGG
rnacentral:rRNA from 1 species